UAUAUUUCUUUUUCGAAGAAAAGGUGUAUUAUCUUAUUUAAGUUUUACUUAUAAGGAUUUAAAAUUUGAUUAUGGUUUAGGUAGUGUUAUAAUGAUGUUAUCUGUUUUGGAUUCAUUAAAUGGGCAAUARUUUUUUACCCUGGCAUUUUGUCGUUUGUAUAAAUUUUGUUCCAGAAUAAUCGGCUAGACUUURUAAACUUGAACUCUAAUUGAUGUUAGUUUAGGGCUUUAUAAAUAUAUCUUGUUUUUUAGGGUGAAAUCGGGAAUUUUUAUUGAUAAUGCUCUAAUCUUUAAGAUUUGGUGAAUGAAUCAGAUUAGUACCUGANNNNNNNNNNNNNNNNNGAGCAGGAGUAAAGUUGUAUUUAAACUGUAAGAAUAUUGGCANGUUUUUAAAUUAUCUUUGGAGGUUGAGUAGUAAUUGAGARCCCUCAUUAACAACUUUUACUGUAGGCGCAUGUAUGAUCGUUUAUUUUAUUCUUAAGGAUUGUAAUUUUAGAUUAACUAUUUUCUGUAAAAAUAGAUAAAUACUUGGUAUAUGUAAAAGAUUUAAUUUGACCUACAAUAUGYUAUCUUGUGGAUACUUUUUUAGUAGAAGGUUGAAAAUGUAAAAGACAGUAAGUUUUUUUUUAUAUAAAGCUGAAGUUUAUUUAAAAACGGUACAAAUCAUCCAUCAAUUGCCUUCAGGGGAGUAAGUUGUAGUAAAGUAGAGUUAGGGGAACCUGGCUCUAGUAAUUA
rnacentral:ncRNA from 1 species